CAGUCGCCGCGGGAAUACGUAGGGUGCGAGCGUUAAUCGGAAUUACUGGGCGUAAAGCGUGCGCAGGCGGUUGUGUAAGACAGGUGUGAAAUCCCCGGGCUUAACCUGGGAACUGCGCUUGUGACUGCACAGCUAGAGUAUGGCAGAGGGGGGUGGAAUUCCACGUGUAGCAGUGAAAUGCGUAGAGAUGUGGAGGAACACCGAUGGCGAAGGCAGCCCCCUGGGCCAAUACUGACGCUCAUGCACGAAAGCUAGGGGAGCAAAUGGGAUUAGAUACCCCCGUAGUCCCUGUCUCUUAUAC
rnacentral:rRNA from 1 species